rnacentral:misc_RNA from 1 species
AACUUUUAGCAAUGGAUCUCUUGGCUCUCGCAUCGAUGAAGAACGCAGCGAAAUGCGAUAAGUAAUGUGAAUUGCAGAAUUCAGUGAAGCAUCGAAUCUUUGAACGCACCUUGCGCCCUUUGGCUAUUCUGAAGGGCAUGCCUGUUUGAGCAUCAUAAACAUCUCAACUCUCACGGUUUCCGGUGAUGAGGUUGGACUUUGGGGGUCUUGUUGCCUUGUCUUCAGCCCCCCACAAUUCUAUCCGCUGUCCUGUGUUUCGCAGCAUCACAGGUGCUACAAAUAUCUCCGCUUGUGGUUCUUUGCCAGUUCUGUCCUCUCCGUGCAGAGGGCUCACUGGAGCUCAUAGGGGUCUCUCCUUGGUGAAGAAAGCUGUUUGAAGUUUGGUCCCAAAUCAGGUAGGAUUACCCGCUUAUCUUGAGCAUCUCAAUAAGCGGAGGCU